rnacentral:rRNA from 1 species
UACGUAGGUGGCAAGCGUUGUCCGGAAUUAUUGGGCGUAAAGCGCGCGCAGGCGGUCCUUUAAGUCUGAUGUGAAAGCCCACGGCUCAACCGUGGAAGGUCAUUGGAAACUGGAGGACUUGAGUACAGAAGAGGAAAGCGGAAUUCCACGUGUAGCGGUGAAAUGACGUAGAUAUCUGGAGGAACACCGGUGGCGAAGGCGGCAUCCUGGACCAACACUGACGCUGAGGAGCGAAGGCCAGGGGAGCAAACGGG